GACGAACGCUGGCGGCGUGCUUAACACAUGCAAGUCGAACGGUGAAGCGCCUUCCUUUUUGGUGGGUGUGGAUGAGUGGCGAACGGGUGAGUAACACGUGAGUAACCUGCCCCCUUCUUCUGGAUAACCGCAUGAAAGUGUGGCUAAUACGGGAUAUUCUGGGUCUGUCGCAUGAUGGGUCUGGGAAAGAUAUUGUUUCGGUGGGGGAUGGGCUCGCGGCCUAUCAGCUUGUUGGUGGGGUGAUGGCCUACCAAGGCGGUGACGGGUAGCCGGCCUGAGAGGGUGGACGGUCACACUGGGACUGAGACACGGCCCAGACUCGUACGGGAGGCAGCAGUGGGGAAUAUUGCACAAUGGGCGCAAGCCUGAUGCAGCGACGCCGCGUGAGGGAUGGAGGCCUUCGGGUUGUGAACCUCUUUCGCCAGUGAAGCAGGCCUGCCUCGUUUGUGGGUGGGUUGACGGUAGCUGGAGAAGAAGCGCCGGCUAACUACGUG
rnacentral:rRNA from 1 species